rnacentral:lncRNA from 13 species
UGACCAAGGACUAUAACAAUACCCCCACCCUGCAUCUCUCCAAUUCAGUCACUAUGGAUUAUGAUCGGUUGCCUACAAUGCAUCCCCUGGAUCAGUGAUUCCAAAAAGGUUGGUCACCAAGGGGACAACUUUCAGGCAAUGUUCUGAAGCAGGGCUUUCUUCACCGGGUUCAGUUAACCAACCCACAGCCUCUUCAAAAUGAUUAAAUCCAGCAUUCAGUCAUGUACAAUGGGCCUUUGCCUGAGUGGAAGAGAGCAGGUCUGUUGCAGGGACAGGGGGUGGGUCUCAGUGCAGGGUUCACCCCCUCUUUCGUUGUGGACACAAACGUCCAUAACAGUAGAAUCCAGCCUGGGCCUAGCAUAUCCCAGGGGCUGUUCAGGGCCUGCCCCAACUCAACACUGAGUACACAGUCACCAGUAUGGGCCUACAGUGUCUCUCCUCCACUGAUACCAGACACAGCCCCCAGGAGGUCACAGUCAACCACACUGGCCAGAAGAGACCCACCAGCAGCCCCCAGAUGGUCCACCACAUUAUAGUUCAAACCACUCCAGGCCCAGGGCAGGACCUGAAUAGACCAGUGCAUCAGACUCAACUGACUGGAUCCACAGAGACCAUCACCCCCAUUAUCAAUGUACCAUCCUUUCCCGGGCAUAUACUGGCCAAUCACAGAGCUGAGGCUGAGCCAGUUACUGGGCAGAACUCUGGGUUCCCGGAAAACCAUGCCCAUGUCCAUUCGACUGGAGCAAGUUUCCAGACCUGCCACUCAGCAGUUCCCUAAAGGAGACCUGAUCCUCCAGCAGAUAGAGCAGGACCAUGCCAGGGUCCUGGAACCAGACCUGUCCCCCUUCACUUCUCUGGAGGAUGCUGCCCACCACCUUCUACCAUGGCUUCCAGAUCAAGCUACCCACACAGGAGGAUCUAUGGUGAGGUAGAGUAGUCAACAGCCCACACUACAGGGCAAGCUUGUAAUUCUUUCAAAUCUCUGUUAUCUCCCUCUGCAGUGGAUGAGGAGUUUGAAGCAGAGGCCACUGAGGUCAUGAUGCAAAAUUAAGCUAUGAUGAAGUACCAGUGUCUCAUGCUGGAGGAGUUUGAGCUCUAUCUAUCUAUCUAUCUAUCUAUCUAUCUAUCUAUCUAUCUAUCUAUCUAUCUAUCUAUCUAUCUAUCUAUCUAUCUAUCUAUCUAUCUAUCUAUCUAUCUAUCUAUCUAUCUAUCUAUCUAUCUAUCUAUCUAUCUAUCUAUCUAUCUAUCAUCUAAUUUCUCCAUUGCCAAGAUAAUCCAUUCACCUGACAGGUGUGGCAUGUCAAAAAGAUGAUUAAACAGCAUGAUCAUUACACAGGUGCACCUUGUGCUGGGGACAAUAAAAGGCCACUUUAAAAUGUGCAGUUUUGUCACACAACACAAUGCCACAGAUGUCUCAAGUUCUAAGGGAGAGUGCAAUUGGCAUGCUGACUGAAGGAAUGUCCAACAGAGCUGUUGCCAGAGAAAUUAAUGUUAAUUUCUCUACCAUAAGCCACCUCCAAUUUUGUUUUAGAGAAUUUGACAGUACAUCCAACUGGCCUCACAACUGCAGACCACAUCAGCCCAGGACCUCCACACACAGCCACUUCACCUUUGGGAUCGUCGUGGGGGGGGCUGAGGAGUAUUUCUGUAUUUAAGAAAGCCAGUGGGAGGACCUAGUACUAAAGUGGCUGGGCCUAUACCCUCCCAGGCCCACCCAUGGCUGGUCAUCUGCCCAGUAAUGUGAAAUCCUUAGAUUAGGGCCUAAUAAAUGUAUUUCAAUUGACUGAUUUCCUUCUAUGAACUGUAAAAUCUUUGGAAUUGUUGCAUGUUGCGUUUAUAUUUUUUUCAGUAUUGCUUGACAGCAGGGUUGAUUGAUGGACAGAUUUCAGGGGUGAGGUAUUAACACCUCGAGAGGAAGGAAAGUGUGUGAGUUCUGAAUAGGCAAGAGGUACCCCUAUUAUUAGCAUGCUGUGGACAAGAUUAGAGUCAGCCUUGGGAUUGCAGUGAAUUACUGCCCGAUCCGUUUACAGGGGCACAGAGUCACACGCAGAUCCGCACGCAAUGAAACUGCGCCAGCAAAACUCACGCC